AGGGAUUACUUUUAUCUCCAGCUCAUGAAGAGACUUCUGAAGAGCUUUCUGCUUUUGUCAUUGGAAAACACCACUUUGUGCAAAAUGGUAUGGGAAAUGUUUUCUUGAAAUAGGAGCUUAAAUGUCUCCCGCCAUGUGCUUCUGUGUCCUUCCUUUGCCAGCAUCAAAGUUCUUGUGAAGGAAUAGAAGGCACCUACAUUUAAUUUCAAGUGGUUGAAAGAAAGUGAGCGCCUUGUUGAAGAUCAUCAACCUUCUGAAGAUGUACGCAAAACUGCUAAAUUGCAUAUCCUGCAUAUCAGGUCCUUUAAAGGUGGUCAGGAUAUGGACAUGGGGGAAACUAUUUCACUGUGGUUUUCCUGGUUUGUCAAUCAGAGUGGAAGAGAUUCACCUGACCAAGCUCGAUGUUCUCCUGUGUUAAGUCAGUAGGAGCUGCUGACAUCUUCAUCCUUCCAGCUGCACUCAGCGACCCACCACUUCAGCUCAACCACAAAUGGGAUCAAACUUUGAGACAGAUGGGGUAAAAAAGUAAAUAAACAUUAAAUACUGAGUUCAUACAUAAAAACUGUAGAAUUCAUGUAUUUAGCCCAUGCCUUUACUGUCUUAAGUGUCUAACCUGUAAGGAACUCACAAUGGCUGCCCAUAAUCUAAUUUUGUUAUGUCAGAAGCCUUGAUAUUAUGAUAUCAGAAUGUCAUACUGUGAUUGUUUUCUGGCCCUAAUAUGAAAUUAAUAAAGAUGAACUUGCCAAAAGAAUUGGGCACGCCCUGGUAGAGUGAAACAGAGGAUGAACUCAGUGCACUUUUUAGCAGAACAUACACUUGCAUAAUUGUUUAAUGAUUCAUGUAUAUUGCUUAAAGAUUAGCUAUGUGCAAGAGAAAAACAAGAAAUCUUGCGAGAUUUUCUCCUGCUUUCUUUGUUUCAAUAUAUGAUUAAGCAGUGAAAAGUAUUGUUAUUAUUAUUAUUAUUAUUAUUUUCCUUAUUUUACAUAGAUGCAAAAAACAGAUGUCUGGUAGAAAAUUAAUAAUAAUAGCGAUAAUAAUGAAACUCAAUACAGUAAAAGUAAUUUUUUUUUUUCACUCCACUACCUACCGAAAACUUGGACAUAGACAGUCUCUGUUUUAUAUUUUUAAGGUACCAUGUUUGAUUUUGCAAUGCUUUUGAAAUGCUACAAAACCUCUUCAGAAAAGACAUGCUGAAGUUCCUCAAACUACAGGAGAAAAAAAAAAAAAAAAGAAACAAAUAACAGACUUAAUGUUUUUACUAUUUCUUUAGUUGAAAAUAUAAGCAGAAAAGUAUUAAAAUAAUUGAAAAUCGGUCACAUUAAAUUGUGAUUGAGAGUUCCUUUCUACUAAGGAAAAUAUCUCACAGUAAAUUAAUAUAAUUAUAUUCAACAACAACAACAGCAAUAACAACAUACCAAAGUAAGCAUUCUAACCCUGAUCUGAAAUACUGAUUUGCUUGAAUGUAUUAUUUUAUAAGGCAUUUCUAUUAUUUCAUCACUUAGGUAAACUUUGCAAAACUCCUUCAGUAUGUUUGUUUUUUCAUAUAGAAAGAAGAAUUGUCGCUUUUGAACAUGUUUUGAGAACACAUUAUUCUAAAGCAGCUUGACGAAUAUGGGAGAUUGCUUAUCUUGCAAUAUUUAAUAGGACAAUUUUAAAAUGUAAGCACCGGUUUUGCAAGAAGAAAAACAGAUCUCCUGCCAUCAUGUGGAAUGUAGCAGUAUCUCCUUUUUGAAAUGAUCUCUUGAUGUCUGAAUAUCACAACAGUCAAUACAUUGUGACAUUGACAUUAUUUUUUCUCAUUUGAAACCUGAACUACCAUUACAGAGCAUGAAUAUUUUAGGGAGGCUCAUCCUCUAAGAAACAUUCUCUGUGACUGCGACAGAGUAGUUUAUGAAACACUGGUAAAAUAAAGCCAUUUCUUCUAAUUCUUGACUUCAGGAACAUUAUAUUACAUAGAGAUUUUGAGACUCCUCCCUGCAGAAUUGUGUCCGUAUUAAGUAUCUCACUGAUUUCAAUAUAGUUAUAUCAGAAGGAUGUUUGUUUUACACUGCUUUCUUAUUCUAGCAAUCAGACUGUUUGAAAACAUGCCAGGCCUGAUACUUAUCUAUUGGUGUCACUUAUACCAUUUUAAUUCUGCAGAGCAGCAUGCCAAGUUUGUCUACAGAAUGUACUGACCAAAAUCCAGAGCCUUUAUGCAUACAAAAAAUACAUCUAAACAAAUUUUGCUUUCAGAACCACUGCACCUUUAAAGGAAAUGGACAUCUACUUACCACAUAAUUAAAGGCAAAUGGACAUUGCAAUCCUAAGGAAAUACAGAUCUGCAGUGUGGAGAGGUUGGUCUUGAUGGGACUAAAAACAAAAUUAAAAAUCCAGAAAAUCUCUAGUUAUCAAGUUUAUCACAGAAUUACAGGAUGACUGAGUGUAAAGAGAGCCUCUGAAGAUAAUAGAAUCACUGAAUCACAGGAUUGUUGAGGUUGGAGGGGACCAUCUGAGUCCAUCUUGUCCAACCCUUGCUCAAGCAGGGACAUCCAGAGCAUGGUGCCUAGGAUCACAUUCAAGCUACUCUUGAAGACCUCCAAAUAGAGGUCUCCAUAACCUCCCUGGGCAAUCUGUGCUAGUGCUCCAUCACCCACACAGCACAGAAGUGUUUCCUGAUGUUCAGAGGUAACCUCCUGUGUUCCAGGUUUUGCUCAUGGCCUCGUCUUGUCACCAGGAAUCACUGAAAAGAGUCUGGCUUCAUUUUCUUUACAGUCUCCCUUCAGACACUGGCCAAGCUGCACAGCUCGUUCUUGGAAAAGAGAGCACAUCCUCAUCUCUGCAUCUCUCAUUGUUCAGAGCUCAUCCCUAAAACCUUUCUGCUCUGCAACUGGACUUGAUCACAGAGUCACUGUCAUAAAGUCAUUUCAACAGAUAGUGAUUUUCAUUGCAUGUCUUAAAUGGUCAAACCGUGGAUUUCUGCAUCUUUGCUGAAACACCGUGCUAUGACAGGAUUCUCUCAGUAUUUGUUCUACAUCUUUCAUUUGUCUAUCAUCUCUUCAUUGUUUUUGUUAUUUUUGUGAUUCUUAAUCUGUUAAUGGGCUGGUAGACUUGAUAUAACAGGCCCUAACAUUAACUGCUCCAGAAGUUAGAAAUCAUUAUGGGAUCUGAUUGUCACUUUAGUUCUUUUCCACUGUUUGAGAAAGCAAUUUUGAUUUUGGAUAUCUAGGCCAAGAAAGCCUAAGAAAAAUAGCCCAUUGCAAAUACAGCAUCCAUUACAUCUGGAAACUAGAGCUUUGUUGGUAUCUUCACCUGGGCUCCCAACAGAUUUGUGGCUUUGUCUGCAAGAGGAGUAAAGGAUUUAAGUUUUCCUCAUUAAAGAAAGGUGUUUUGUAGGUCUUAUUUAGUACAGCUCAAUGAGGAAUCUUCAUAUUACUCUCCUUCCAGGAAGUCAAAUAGUCUGCUUGAGUCAGAUAUCUUCCUUUUCUACUAAGGGUGGAGGGUAGAAGAACAAAUGCUACGUGCUUCCACACAUUUUGGGAUCCUGCCCAGCACAACAGAGAAAAGAGAUUAGUAGAAGCUGAAUUUGUAAAAACAUUGACCAUGCCAAAGCCCUGUGUUUUGAGGCCAUGGAGUGGAUCAUAUUCAGCAGAAGGGGGACAAGUCCUUGCAUAGAAACAGCCUGCAGCUAUCAGAAUAUUCUGGCAAGCAUUCAGGACAUAUAAAAACUAUUCCAUCCAAUUGUCUUGCUCCUACAGUGUAGCUCUCUUUCUUCUGUAGGGCUUUGACCACCAGACUUCUACAGAAAGAGUGCACCUUACCAGGUGUCUGAGUAAAGCAAUUACAAACCUCAACAGAGCUAACUCAUUUAGCUUUUCUAUGAAAUCUAUACAGAGCUUAAAUGUCUGUUUUUUGGAGAAAGUAUUUAAAAAGGAUUUAGGUAAGUACUAAGAAUGCAUUCACAGGAAAAAAUCUUGUGAGUAUAUGGACGUAAUUGAAAUUCAGCUUUUUCUUACUAACUAGUGUACUCCUGAGGGAUGUGGGAAGAGAAAUAGUAAAAUCAGUAAAUAUAUAUAAGUAUUUAUCAGUAAAUAGUAAAAGCCAACUUCCAGCUUUUCUGGUAGUUACCUAGUUAGUUUUCCCCUGGGAAACUCCUCAAGGACAAGGGAUCAGGGCAGAGAUGGAAGAUCUGCAAGGAAGCUUUCCUUAGGGCACAAGAGAAUCCCCAAGUGUAGGAAUCCAGGAAAGGAAGGCAAGAGCUGAUCAUUGCUGUACCAGGACCUUCUGGUCAAAUUGGAGAGUUAGAAGAAAAUGCAUGGGCAGUGAAACAGGAGCAGGUACCCUUGGAUGUACCAUAGGGAUGCUGCUAGGCUGUGUAGGAGUGGUCAGGAAGGCCAAGGCCCAGCUGGAACUGGACUUGACAAGGGGUGCAAAGAAGAAUAAGAAAGGCUUCUUAUUCUUUGCAUUGAUCAGUAAAGGAAUGUCCAAGGAUCAGGUGCAUUAUCAGAAAAGGAAUGUCCAAGAAGGCAUAUCCCCCUACUGAACAAUAAAGUCAGGCUAGUAACAACUGACAAGGAGGAGGCUGAGGGACUCAGCAAAUUUUGUCUCUGUCAUCAAUGGCAACUGCUCUUCACACACUGCUUGAACAGAUGAGUCAGAAGGUGGGUACUAAGGUGGAAAUGUCCCUUCUGUUGUAAACAAAGAUCAAGUUCAUGACCACAUGAGGAACCUGAACAUCCAUAAGUCUGUGGUCUCAAUGGCAUGCAUUUCAGAGUCUGAGGGAAUUAGCUGAUGUAGUCACCAAGCCACUCUUGAAGAUGUUUGAAAAGUCAUGGAGGUCAGGUGACAUCCCUGAUGGCUGGAAAAAAGGCAAUGUCACACUCAUUUUUAAGAAGGGUAGUACAUUCCCAGUACAUCCCUCAGGGGUUUGUACUGCGAAUGAAGCUCUUAACAUCUUCAUUAGUGACACCGAUAGUGGGACUGAGUUCACCCACAGAAAGUUUGCAAAUGAUACCAAGCUAUGUGGUGCGGUCAACAUGUCUCAGGGACAGGAUGCCAUCCAGAGGGACUUAGACAGGCUUGUGCAGUGGGCCCAGGAGAACCUUAUGAGGUUCCACAAAUCCAGGUGCAAGGGGAUCCUGGGCUGCAUGAAAAGAUGCAUGACCAGCAGGUCAAGGGAGAUGAUCCUGCCCCUCUACUCUGCACUGGUGAGGCCUCACCUGGAGUACUGCAUCCAGAUGUGGAGUCCUCA